GUAUAAUGUCAGUAUAAAGAGGUUUAAACGGACGAAGAGGUCAUUGAGAAAUUAAAGUAUGGGCUCAAAACUAGGAGUGAUGAAAAAUAAAGAGGACAAGAAAAAUUAUGAAAGAGAUGGUGAGUGUGAUAUUCCUCAUGAUCUCAUGAGGGAGAUAUUACUGAGACUUCCAGCGAAAUCAUUGCUAAGGUUUCGAUGUGUAUCAAAGUUAUGGUUCUCUACCACUACAGAUCCAAGUUUCAUUAAUUCGUUCGCCACUCAGUCAUCAACUCGUCCGUAUCUUGAACUCUGUUUUACAAAAGAGGACAACUGGUUAUUUUUCUCAUUAGUGCAAAAGUCUUUAUCUCAUCAUCAUAUGGACCAUAUCACCCUCCCAAAAGAAGACCGGUUCAUCAAUGAUUUUGAGUCCAUACUUGGCUUGAUCUCCUUCCAAUAUUUAAAUUAUUUUGUGAUCUGGAAUCCUACCAUAAGACAACAUGUAACCAUACCCAAACCCAAAGAUUCAUGGCAUACAAGAAGCUAUUUAGGAUAUGAUCCUAUUGGAGAUACAUAUAAGCUACUUUGUAUGUCAAAUACUUCUAAUUCCAGACCUCAAGUUCUUACAUUAGGAGCUCAAGAAUCAUGGAGAUUGAUCAAAAACAGUCCUAUGCAUUACAAGACGAAUAAUGGAAAAUACAUCAACGGGUUCAUCUUUUAUGAAGCGUAUUUACGAUAUGAAUAUUAUGGAACUCUUGUUGAUCGUGGAUGUCCUUCGUAUAUUUAUCGCGAAGGUCUAGAUAGAAAAACCAUAAUGCGUUUUGAUGUGAGGUCUGAGGAGUUUAAACCAAUCCAAAUGCCCCCGCAUUUUAGUCACAAAACAAGGCAUGCUCUGGUAAAUUACGAGGGCAAAGUGGCACGUAUUUGUCAAGAAUCAUCUUUUAUAAUUUUAUGGAUCCUUGAAGAUGUUGACAAAGAAAAAUGGUCAUACAAAGAGUUCCAUGUGCCUUUUCCCCCAGAAGAUCCAAUUGAAGCAUAUGACUAUAGUAUAAAUAUAUUAUCACAACAAAACGAGAACUACAUUCUAAAUGGUAUCCAUGAUGACACUGGUGAAUUAGUGAAAUAUAUUCUAAGUGGUAUUAAUGAUGACACUGGUGAAUUUAUUUUCAUACCAUUAACAAUGUGGUGUGGUGACAAAGAGGCGUAUGUCUUUUGUUAUGAUCCAAAGAAAAAAUGUACGAGGAAGAUCAGAUUUGAAGGAACUGGGUACGUUGACAAUUUUAAGCGUGGUUAUAAACUCAAACACUGGGUAUUUGCUUAUUGUUUCCCUAAUCAUAUUGAGAGUCUUGUGUCUCUCAACAACCUAACUUUCCCGCAUUAAAUAUUAGCUCUGUUCGUUUCAUCACCGCGGAACGCAGCGGUAGCGUCAUAAAAUUAAAGCUUUAACGACAACAACACAGAGCACAGAUGAACCAUGGCUGACUGAUUUUGCAGUCUUGCGGCAACAAACUGAAGAUAAAACGGACGCAGAAAAUAUCAGCGGCAUCGGCUUCUCAUUGCUUGUGUCUCUGGAAGUCCACCAGCGAUUACAGCUGCGUCAAAUUACUCUUAUUUUUGUCUCGUUUACCGUAUAUUAUUUUGCCGCUACCGCUGGAUGUGGCGUCUAUGAAACGAACAGACCUAUUUUAUGUGGAGUUAUUCUUCGGUUCACCUCAUAGGGCAGUGGCAGAGUCAGAACUAUUUUUAACUGGAGUUUUAAUAUGUAUAUAUUAUUAUUACAAAAAUAUUUUUUUUUACAAAUUUAAUGGAGACAUUUGAAAACUUAUACAUAAAUUAGUAGUCAAAUGCUAUAUUUUAACUAAAUAUUGUAAUAACUUAAGAAAAAAAUUGACUAAUUUUUUUUCUCCAAUUUGAGUGGGGUCAUCUGAUCCCACAAUCUCUUAUCUACUUUCCCUCGUAUCUUAGGGUGAAUUUCUAAGUUCAUUAAUCAAUAAAAUUUUAUUCUUUUAUUUUUGAUAUUUUUUAAAAAAAAAAUGUAUAUUGUCAAGUUAUAUUUAAAAAUAAAAAUAUGUGUAAGUGUAAAUAGACAGAAGUAUGUGUAGAUGUAAUUUUUUCUAUUAUUUUCCGGGUAUCAUGUAAAAUUAAUCUAAUCCUUGUUGGUAACUUGUUCCGAAACCGGUACACAAAUUAACCAGCAAAACCGGCUUUCUGAUAUUGAGACGGUUAAACCGUUUCUCUGGGCUUGACGCUCGAGAUCAAUUCUGCUAAGCGAAAACCAGACGACAGAAAAAAAAAAGAAAAAGAAAAGCAACACAAGAGGAGGAGAAAACUCGAAAACGAAGAAGACGAGAAAGCGAUACUCUCGUGCUACGAAUUCAAAUGAUUUGUUUUCCUUAGCAGAUCGAUCGCAAUUGAUCUAUCUCCGCCGCUGUUUUCGCCGUAAUUGACGGCGGUGUAUACAGUCUCUUUUGCUUGUGCGUGACAUCAACAGGAGAAGUCAUCUUAAGUAACGCCGUUUCUUUUGAUCGCGAUUGAGUUCAGCGUCGUUUCUUCUCCCAGAUUUGCGUUUGUUGUUUAUCUCGAAUUCGUUUGUUCUGCGUCGAAGAGAUGUAAAAUGCUGGCGAAUUGGAACUUACGGUGUCAAAGGUUGCAUAGUAUAGAAAAACUAUAAAGUCUGGUUCAGAGAAGAAGUUUCCUCUCAGUGCAAAAGACUACAAGUUAAACGAAGAGAUUGGAGAUGGCGUUGGUGCCACCGUGUACAGAGCUUUGUGCAUACCGCUUAACGAGGAUGGGAUCAGGAGAGAGGUGCAAACAAUGAGUCUGAUCAACCAUCCAAAUUUGUUACAAGCUCAUUGCUCAUUUACCGCUGGCCACCACCUAUGGGUUGUGAUGCCUUACAUGGCUGGAGGAUCCUGUCUCCAUAUAAUAAAGUCUUCUUAUCAAGAUGGAUUUGAGGAGCCUAUUAUCGCUACUUUGCUCCGUGAGAGUCUGAAAGCUCUUGUGUAUCUUCAUGCUCAUGGACAUAUCCAUAGGGAUGCCAAGGCUGGAAACAUAUUAUUGGACUCCAACGGUGCGGUUAAGUUAGCAGACUUUGGAGUAUCAGCUUGCAUGUUCGAUACAGGGGAUAGACAACGUUCCAGAAAUACAUUCGUUGGGACUCCAUGCUGGGACUUUUUUUUUCUUCCAACUUUAGUAGUGCCAUGUUCUGCUGCCAUAUGUGAAUAUACAUCUUAGACAUUAUUUAUUUUACAUAGGAUGGCUCCUGAAGUCAUGCAGCAACUACAUGGAUAUGAUUUCAAAUGUAUGGUCAUUUGGAAUAACGGCACUUGAACUGGCACAUGGUCAUGCCCCAUUUUCCAAGUAUCCGCCAAUGAAAGUAAAGUUAUAAUGAUGCCAUUUUAUUUGUAUUAAUCAUCACUGCUCUCUGGUACUCAGUUUGUGUAUUUUCUUUUCUGGUAAUCAUCAAAACAAGAUCUUUAUAUCGUUGAAUGACACCACAACUCACUAGUUAUAUCAA